AAGAGGAGAUGAAAAAACGCAUAGGGAAGGCUGCCUCGACAUUCGCUAGACUCAGACCAAGAGUUUGGGAAAACCAUAAGCUAACUACGGUGACCAAAAUGGAAGUCUACAAGGCAUGCGUUAUGAGUACACUGCUGUAUGGCAGUGAAUCAUGGACCACCUACGCAAAGCAAGAGAGAAAACUAAUUUCAUUCCAUUUGAGAUGUCUCCGUAGGGUCUCAGCCCAGGAAGAAAAACGCACAAUCCGAAAAACGGCCAGCUCCUCUAUCACCGAAGCAAAAGCCACCUUAACUUGCGCUAUCUGUGGACGGGAGUGUCUCUCCAAAAUAGGGCUCUACAGCCACAUGAGGAAGUGUGCUCUGAGAUGAACCAUAGUCGUCCUACGACUGAAGGAGGCCAAUGAUGAUAUACUAAUAUGAAUGUACAGGCCCUUACUACUUUGCAAAUACAACCGAUUUGUUCCUUGAAAAGAUAAGAUACCCAACAUAUUUAGAUGUAGGCUUUGAGGAUCGCUGCCGUUAAAAAAAUUAUUCGAAAAAUAAUAAUAAUAAUUUUUUAAAAGCCAAUGAAAUGCCGGACAUUUUCACCCAUUAGGCCGGAUGCAGGACACAACUUCAAAAACGAAUGCAUGUCCUCAUUUAGCCGGACGUUGUGGAAACCUUAACUAUAGGCUAUAUUCUUUCAUAUUGAAUGUUUCAGCCAAGUUAUUACUAUUCCAUUAUAUAUAUAGCUUUCUAAUAAAAAAUCCUUUAAUAUUAUUUGUGUGUUACUAUAAAGCCUUGACUAGAUUGAGCGUAAGCCUAAUGUUGGUGCUUUAGAGUUGUGUUUUUUUUUUCAAAAUCUUCUUGUGGACUGGGUUUCCAGGCAAAUAUUUUUCACCCAGAACAGGGGUCUGCAACCUUUUGAGUCGCAAGAGCCAAAAAUUACAAAUCCAAACAAUAAAUAGUACUCGCAUAAAUUAAGUUUUUUGAUUAAGAUAACAACGAAUCUGUUUAUUCAUAAAAAAUAUAGCUCUACUUAUCUUUAUACUUAUUAUUAUAUUAUAUUAUUAUUAUACUUACUACUUAUAUAUAUAUAUGCAGUGCUUCUUUUGUGACGCUACGCACAGGUACGCGUACCGGCACCUUUUUCAAUGUGGGGAAAAGUUAUUACUUUUCUUGUGUUUUUGUGUUUUAACGUAUAUUUUAAAAUUAUAAGUAGUUAGAAAUUAGGCAAUCCAUCACUGAGCACAGGAA